UUCUUAUUCUUCCACUCCCCGGGACUAGAAACCCAACUCUUUGAACCUUCAAAACGACUUUUCUUGUUCUGCCCCCAUUGGUGAUGUCUUUCACCAGUAUUACCAUCUCCACUAGGUGAAUCCCACCCAGACAAGCUCGCAGGUUGAGUUUCUGUCUCAGGAGGAUUUUUCUGCCCCCAAGAACUGGUAGAAAUUUCGGAAGAUUUUUUCUGUUGCCCACUAGACCAAGCAUUGUCAUUCCCUGAUUCUGUUUCCCCAGAUGAAACAGCACCCCAAGGUUGAGUUUCUAUCACAGGAGGAUUUUUCUGCCCCCAAGAACUGGUCGAAAUUUCAGAAGACUUUUUCUGUUGCCCACUAGACCAAGCCUUGUCAUUCCCUGUUUCUGUUUCCCCAUAAGAAACAGCACCCCAAGGUUGAGUUUCUGUCUCAGGAGGAUUUUUCUGCCCCCAAGAACUGGUCGAAAUUUCAGAAGACUUUUUCUGCUGCCCACUAGACCAAGCAUUGGCAUUCCCUGUUUCUGUUUCCCCAGAAGAAACAGCACCCCAAGGUUGAGUUUCUGUCUCAGGAGGAUUUUUCUGCCCCCAAGAACUGGUCGAAAUUUCAGAAGACUUUUUCUGUUGCCCACUAGACCAAGCAUUUUUCUGCCCCCAAGAACUGGUAGAAAUUUCAGAAGAUUUUUUCUGUUGCCCACUGGACCAAGCAUUGUCAUUCCCUGUUUCUGUUUCCCCAGAAGAAACAGCACCCCAAG
rnacentral:lncRNA from 1 species